rnacentral:rRNA from 1 species
AUCUGCCCUGCACUCUGGGACAAGCCCUGGAAACGGGGUCUAAUACCGGAUACGACACAUCACUGCAUGGUGAAUGUGUGGAAAGCUCCGGCGGUGCAGGAUGAGUCCGCGGCCUAUCAGCUUGUUGGUGGGGUAAUGGCCUACCAAGGAGACGACGGGUAGCCGGCCUGAGAGGGCGACCGGCCACACUGGGACUGAGACACGGCCCAGACUCCUACGGGAGGCAGCAGUGGGGAAUAUUGCACAAUGGGCGAAAGCCUGAUGCAGCGACGCCGCGUGAGGGAUGACGGCCUUCGGGUUGUAAACCUCUUUCAGCAGGGAAGAAGCGCAAGUGACGGUACCUGCAGAAGAAGCACCGGCUAACUACGUGCCAGCAGCCGCGGUAAUACGUAGGGUGCGAGCGUUGUCCGGAAUUAUUGGGCGUAAAGAGCUCGUAGGCGGCUUGUCACGUCGGAUGUGAAAGCCCGGGGCUUAACCCCGGGUCUGCAUUCGAUACGGGCAGGCUAGAGUUCGGUAGGGGAGAUCGGAAUUCCUGGUGUAGCGGUGAAAUGCGCAGAUAUCAGGAGGAACACCGGUGGCGAAGGCGGAUCUCUGGGCCGAUACUGACGCUGAGGAGCGAAAGCGUGGGGAGCGAACAGGAUUAGAUACCCUGGUAGUCCACGCCGUAGACGUUGGGAACUAGGUGUGGGCGACAUUCCACGUCGUCCGUGCCGCAGCUAACGCAUUAAGUUCCCCGCCUGGUGAGUACGGCCGCAAGGCUAAAACUCAAAGGAAUUGACGGGUGCCCGCACAAGCGGCGGAGCAUGUGGCUUAAUUCGACGC